AUGGAGACGGAGCCACCCAAAGUGCUCGCUUCUCUCACCGUACUGUUGCUGCUGGCGACGGCGCUCGCGCCGGUGCCCGGAGAACAAGCGAGGGCACUCCUCGUCUGGAAAGCCAGCCUCAGCAACCAAAGCCAGCACGCCCUACGGUCUUGGGAGAACAUGUCCGCGCCCUGCAGCUGGCUCGGAGUCAGGUGCACAGCGCACCGACGCUGGCGCCAGACGGCGAUCAGCGGCAUCUCUCUAAGGGGGAUGCGGCUGAGAGGGACGCUAGAGUCCCUCAACUUCUCGGCCCUCACAACCUUGACGUGCCUUGACCUCUCGCACAACUACCUUGCCGGGGCCUUCCCUCCUGGCAUUGGGGUCCUCAGAGAGCUCCAAGCUCUUCUCCUGCAAGGCAACCAGAUAAGAGGGUCAGUUCACCUUGGCAAAAUGAGCAGUAAUCUUGUGACCCUCAAUUUGUCAAUCAAUCACUUAGCUGGUCACAUCCCUUCUGAAAUAGGCCACCUAAGGCACUUAGUUACAUUAGAUUUGUCUAGUAACAAUCUUUCCGGCUCAAUCCCAAGCAACAUAGGUGGUCUAACAAAACUCACCACCUUGAACCUCUUUGAAAAUAAUCUUUCAGGCAAUAUUCCAAGAGAAUUAGGUUAUUUGGUAAACUUAGAAGAUUUUGAUCUUAGUGAAAACACACUUUCAGGUUCCAUCCCAAACAGCUUAGGAAAUUUGACAAAACUCACCACCUUGCAUCUUUUUCAGAACCUGCUUUCUGGGCAAAUUCCACGGGAACUAAGUUACCUGGUUAUCUUAGAGGACUUAGACCUUAGCAACAACACACUCUCAGGUUCCAUUCCAAGAAAUUUAGGUAAUUUAACUGAGCUCACUAUCUUACGUCUUUGGGUCAACAGACUCUCCGGCCAAAUUCCAAGAGAAUUAGGUUACCUUGUGAACUUAGAGAACUUGGAUCUUAGCAACAACACACUCUCGGGCUCUAUCCCAAUAAUUAUAGGGAACUUGACAAAACUCACUUAUUUGUCCCUUUUUCAGAACCAACUUUCUGGUAAAAUUCCACGAGAACUAGGUUACCAUGUGAACUUACAGGUCUUGGAUCUUAGCCAAAACACACUCUCAGGUUCCAUCCCAGACAGCUUGGGAAAUUUGAUAAGACUCAAAACCUUGCAAAUUUUCCAGAACCGACUUUCUGGACCAAUUCCACCAGAAUUAGGUUACCUUGUGAACUUAGAGGGCUUGGAUCUUAGCAACAACACACUCUCAGGUUCCAUUCCAAGAAAUUUGUGUAAUUCGACCAAACUCACUUUCUUGCGCCUUUGGAAAAACAAACUUUCUGGUCAAAUUCCACGAGAAUUGGGUUACCUUGUGAACUUAGAGAAUUUGGCACUUCAAGAAAACACACUCACAGGUUCUAUCCCAAUCACCAUAGGGAAUUUGACAAAACUCACUCUCGUGUACCUUUAUCGCAACCAACUUUCAGGGUCUAUACCUCAAGAAAUUGGCAAGUUAAUGAGUUUGGUUAAGUUGGACCUUGCUUUCAACAACCUCUCCGGUUCCUUGCCAUCUGGACUUUGUGUGGGAGGUCGGCUACAAAAUUUAGUCGUUGUUGGUAACAACUUGGUUGGACCAUUGCCAUCAAGCUUGCUAAAUUGUACAAGCCUAGUUAGGGUUCGACUUGAACAGAAUUACCUUGAAGGAGAUAUCACCGGGAUGGGAUCUUAUCCAAAUCUUGUCUAUAUUGAUAUCAGUUCGAAUAAACUAUUUGGCCAAUUAUCUCAUAUUUGGGGUGAGUGCUACAAACUUACUGUGCUACGUGCCUCAAACAAUCAUAUAACUGGAGUAAUACCAUCAAGCAUAGGGAAAUUAUCUAUGCUAGGGAUACUUGAUGUUUCAUCAAACAAGCUUGAAGGACAGAUUCCACCGGAAAUUGGUAAUGUAAUGAUGUUGUUCAAUUUGAGCCUUUCCGGCAACUUACUGCGGGGAAAUAUGCCACACGAAAUUGGAUCAAUGAACAACUUGGAGUAUCUAGAUUUAUCAUCAAACAACCUAACUGGGCAGAUACCAGACUCAAUUGGACACUGCCAAAAGAUUCACUUUCUAAAGUUGAGCCAUAAUCACCUCAAUGGUAUAAUUCCUAUUGAACUAGGAAUGUUGGUAAACCUACAAGAUCUGUUGGAUCUCAGUGACAAUUCAAUUGAUGGCAAUAUUCCAAGUGUGUUAGGAAGUCUCGGUAUGCUUGAAGCCUUGAAUCUUUCUCACAAUGCACUGAAUGACAGCAUUCCACCAUCAUUUCAAAGCAUGACAAGUCUCCUAUCCAUGGAUGUGUCAUACAACAAAUUGGAAGGACCAUUGCCACAUACUAGGUUCUUCGAAAAAGCUCCAAUCAAAUGGUUCCGGCAUAAUAAGAAAUUGUGUGGUGUUGUGAAAGGUUUGCCCACUUGUGAUCUUCCUCGAAGUAGUGAACAAGGAAAAAAGUCUGGGGCUAUUUUACUAGCUAUUAUACCAAUUGUUGUAUCUUUUGUGUUUAUGACUGCAGUAGUAACAUGGCAAUGCAAAAAGAAAAAACCAAGGACAGGAACUGCAAAUGAAGUACAACAAACCAACAUGUUCUCCGUCUGGAAUUUUGAUGGGGAAGAUGUGUACAAUAAAAUUGUUGAUGCCACAAAAAAUUUCAGCAGCUCUCAUUGCAUUGGAACGGGAGGGAAUGGAUCUGUCUAUAGAGCUCAGUUACCAACUGGUGAAUUAUUUGCAGUGAAAAAGAUCCAUAUGACGGAAGAUGAUGUGCAAUUUAACCAAGAAAUACAAGCCUUGAUGCAUGUUCGACAUCGCAACAUUGCAAAGUUGUUUGGUUACUGCUCUGCAACUCAGGGAAGAUUCCUUGUGUAUGAGUACAUGGAUAGAGGUAGCUUAGCAGCAACUUUGAAGGGCAAGGAAACUGCAAUUGAAUUGGAUUGGACGAGGAGGUUAAAUAUUGUUUGUGAUGUUACUCAUGCUUUGUCUUACAUACAUCAUGAUUGUUUCGUGCCGAUAGUCCAUAGAGAUGUAACAAGCAACAACAUUUUGCUUGAAUUGGAAUUUAAAGCGUGCAUCUCGGAUUUUGGUCUAGCAAAAAUACUAGACGUGGAAGCAUCGAACUACACAAGUCUUGCUGGUACAAAAGGAUAUCUUGCUCCAGAUCUUGCAUACACAACAAGGGUGACAGAGAAGUGUGAUGUUUAUAGUUUUGGAGUGCUCAUUCUAGAGUUGUUUAUGGGACAUCAUCCACGUGAUUAUCUUUCAUCUAUGGACAAGAGAAGCACAUUACUUGAGAAUUUGUUGGACACACGGCUUCCACCCCCUGAAGUUGAGAUCACAAGUGAAAUAUUCAAAGUGGUCACGGUCGCGGUUCAGUGCAUAGAACCGAAUCCAUCACACCGUCCAACAAUGCAGCAGGUGGCCAAGGUGUUGUCAAGAGCUGAACGACCUGCUAACGAUCUUGAUUAUCUCCAUGUUGACAUUAUCAUCCCUGCUUGUUGGUCAUGA
rnacentral:rRNA from 1 species